GGAAUUUUCCGCAAUGGGCGAAAGCCUGACGGAGCAAUCUCGCGUGAGGGAUGACGGCCUAUGGGUUGUAAACCUCUUUUUUCAGGGAGGAAUCAAUGACGUGUACCUGAAGAAUAAGCAUCGGCUAACUCCGUGCCAGCAGCCGCGGUAAGACGGAGGAUGCAAGUGUUAUCCGGAAUCACUGGGCGUAAAGCGUCUGUAGGUGGUUUAAUAAGUCAACUGUUAAAUCUUGAAGCUUAACUUCAAAAUCGCAGUCGAAACUAUUAGACUAGAGUAUAGUAGGGGUAAAGGGAAUUUCCAGUGGAGCGGUGAAAUGCGUAGAGAUUGGAAAGAACACCGAUGGCGAAGGCACUUUACUGGGCUAUUACUAACACUCAGAGACGAAAGCUAGGGUAGCAAAUGGGAUUAGAUACCCCUGUAGUC
rnacentral:rRNA from 1 species